rnacentral:rRNA from 1 species
GACGAACGCUGGCGGCGUGCUUAACACAUGCAAGUCGAACGGAAAGGCCCUGCUUUUGUGGGGUGCUCGAGUGGCGAACGGGUGAGUAACACGUGAGUAACCUGCCCUUGACUUUGGGAUAACUUCAGGAAACUGGGGCUAAUACCGGAUAGGAGCUCCUGCUGCAUGGUGGGGGUUGGAAAGUUUCGGCGGUUGGGGAUGGACUCGCGGCUUAUCAGCUUGUUGGUGGGGUAGUGGCUUACCGAGGCUUUGACGGGUAGCCGGCCUGAGAGGGUGGCCGGCCACAUUGGGACUGAGAUACGGCCCAGACUCCUACGGGAGGCAGCAGUGGGGAAUAUUGCACAAUGGGCGGAAGCCUGAUGCAGCAACGCCGCGUGCGGGAUGACGGCCUUCGGGUUGUAAACCGCUUUCGCCUGUGACGAAGCGUGAGUGACGGUAAUGGGUAAAGAAGCACCGGCUAACUACGUGCCAGCAGCCGCGGUGAUACGUAGGGUGCGAGCGUUGUCCGGAUUUAUUGGGCGUAAAGGGCUCGUAGGUGGUUGAUCGCGUCGGAAGUGUAAUCUUGGGGCUUAACCCUGAGCGUGCUUUCGAUACGGGUUGACUUGAGGAAGGUAGGGGAGAAUGGAGUUCCUGGUGGAGCGGUGGAAUGCGCAGAUAUCAGGAGGAACACCAGUGGCGAAGGCGGUUCUCUGGGCCUUUCCUGACGCUGAGGAGCGAAAGCGUGGGGAGCGAACAGGCUUAGAUACCCUGGUAGUCCACGCUGUAAACGGUGGGUACUAGGUGUGGGGUCCAUUCCACGGGUUCCGUGCCGUAGCUAACGCUUUAAGUACCCCGCCUGGGGAGUACGGCCGCAAGGCUAAAACUCAAAGGAAUUGACGGGGCCCCGCACAAGCGGCGGAGCAUGCGGAUUAAUUCGAUGCAACGCGUAGAACCUUACCUGGGUUUGACAUGGAUCGGGAGUGCUCAGAGAUGGGUGUGCCUCUUUUGGGGUCGGUUCACAGGUGGUGCAUGGCUGUCGUCAGCUCGUGUCGUGAGAUGUUGGGUUAAGUCCCGCAACGAGCGCAACCCUUGUUCACUGUUGCCAGCACGUUAUGGUGGGGACUCAGUGGAGACCGCCGGGGUCAACUCGGAGGAAGGUGGGGAUGACGUCAAGUCAUCAUGCCCCUUAUGUCCAGGGCUUCACGCAUGCUACAAUGGCUGGUACAGAGAGUGGCGAGCCUGUGAGGGUGAGCGAAUCUCGGAAAGCCGGUCUCAGUUCGGAUUGGGGUCUGCAACUCGACCUCAUGAAGUCGGAGUCGCUAGUAAUCGCAGAUCAGCAACGCUGCGGUGAAUACGUUCCCGGGGCU